rnacentral:lncRNA from 1 species
GGGGAUCUGGACUUAGUAGAACCUAUAGGAACCAUUCCAAGUGUACUCGCAAGGUAUCUGCAACUAAAUUGAAGCUGUGCAGGGCCGACAUCUCCAUGAAGUGUAGGUUAAACUGAAAAGUGAAUGGUCUUUCCUCCUCCUUCCCUUCAGGAAACAAACUGGUAUUUGAGUUUGAAUGCUUGGAAACACGCUACAAAAGCCAGAGCAAAGAAAAAUCAAUGUUUUCCUGUAACCAAGAGCAAGUUUAUUCUUCACAUAAUCUCUAUCCCGAAUACAAGUCUAAGUGACAACAAACCCUUUUAACUUCCAUGGCUUUCAGUAGACUUUCCAAAGAGUUAUCCCACUUUGUUUAUUUGAGAGUUAGCAGCAGGCUUUACGGGGGCAAGAUUGGUGCUACUCCACAUGAUCUGUGCAGACCUAUUGCUACCUGAUCAAGUGACUUUCUGAAGUUUUGCUUCAACCAAAGAGUAACAUUACGCGCCUAUUUAGUAGACCCAAUGGAAUUUUCCAUAUUGAAAACAAUCAAAAAGUUCGGUCAAAAUAGUCACAGGCACAAGGUGGAUACGGUUUGGAACUUUAUGCCUUUCAUAUGCAUUAGCAAGACACCAACAAAUAUACAGAUGGCAUACAACAAGGUAUUGUUAAUAGCAUAUCACCCUUCCCCCGAAGCAACAGGAGAAAAAUAAAAGAUUUAAAAAGUCAAAGCAAGCUGAAAAAAAAAAUGGAACUUUACCAAUUU